UACGGGGGGGAGCAAGCGUUGCUCGGAUUUACUGGGCGUAAAGCGCGCGUAGGCGGCUUUUCAAGUCGAUUGUGAAAUCCCCGGGCUUAACCUGGGAACUGCAGUCGAGACUGUCUAGCUAGAGUAUGGGAGAGGGAAGUGGAAUUUCAGGUGUAGCGGUGAAAUGCGUAGAUAUCUGAAGGAACAUCAGUGGCGAAAGCGACUUCCUGGACCAAUACUGACGCUCAUGUGCGAAAGCGUGGGGAGCAAACAGG
rnacentral:rRNA from 1 species